rnacentral:rRNA from 1 species
GAGUUUGAUCGUGGCUCAGAUUGAACGCUGGCGGCAUGCCUUACACAUGCAAGUCGAACGGCAGCAUGAUCUAGCUUGCUAGAUUGAUGGCGAGUGGCGAACGGGUGAGCAAUACAUCGGAACGUGCCCUGUAGUGGGGGAUAACUAGUCGAAAGAUUAGCUAAUACCGCAUACGACCUGAGGGUGAAAGUGGGGGACCGCAAGGCCUCAUGCCAUAGGAGCGGCCGAUGUCUGAUUAGCUAGUUGGUGGGGUAAAGGCCCACCAAGGCGACGAUCAGUAGCUGGUCUGAGAGGACGAUCAGCCACACUGGGACUGAGACACGGCCCAGACUCCUACGGGAGGCAGCAGUGGGGAAUUUUGGACAAUGGCGAAAGCCUGAUCCAGCAAUGCCGCGUGUGUG